rnacentral:rRNA from 1 species
GACGAACGCUGGCGGCGUGCUUAACACAUGCAAGUCGAACGGAAAGGCCCUGCUUUUGUGGGGUGCUCGAGUGGCGAACGGGUGAGUAACACGUGAGUAACCUGCCCUUGACUUUGGGAUAACUUCAGGAAACUGGGGCUAAUACCGGAUAGGAGCUCCUGCUGCAUGGUGGGGGUUGGAAGGUUUCGGCGGUUGGGGAUGGACUCGCGGCUUAUCAGCUUGUUGGUGGGGUAGUGGCUUACCAAGGCUUUGACGGGUAGCCGGCCUGAGAGGGUGACCGGCCACAUUGGGACUGAGAUACGGCCCAGUCUCCUACGGGAGGCAGCAGUGGGGAAUAUUGCACAAUGGGCGGAAGCCUGAUGCAGCAACGCCGCGUGCGGGAUGACGGCCUUCGGGUUGUAAACCGCUUUCGCCUGUGACGAAGCGUGAGUGACGGUAAUGGGUAAAGAAGCACCGGCUAACUACGUG